rnacentral:rRNA from 1 species
GUCGAACGGCAGCAUGAUCUAGCUUGCUAGAUUGAUGGCGAGUGGCGAACGGGUGAGUAAUACAUCGGAACGUGCCCUGUAGUGGGGGAUAACUAGUCGAAAGAUUAGCUAAUACCGCAUACGACCUGAGGGUGAAAGUGGGGGACCGCAAGGCCUCAUGCUAUAGGAGCGGCCGAUGUCUGAUUAGCUAGUUAGUGGGGUAAAGGCCCACCAAGGCGACGAUCAGUAGCUGGUCUGAGAGGACGAUCAGCCACACUGGGACUGAGACACGGCCCAGACUCCUACGGGAGGCAGCAGUGGGGAAUUUUGGACAAUGGGGGCAACCCUGAUCCAGCAAUGCCGCGUGUGUGAAGAAGGCCUUCGGGUUGUAAAGCACCUUUGUCCGGAAAGAAAUCGCACUUACUAAUAUUAGGUGUGGAUGACGGUACCGGAAGAAUAAGGACCGGCUAACUACGUGCCAGCAGCCGCGGUAAUACGUAGGGUCCAAGCGUUAAUCGGAAUUACUGGGCGUAAAGCGUGCGCAGGCGGUUGUGCAAGACCGAUGUGAAAUCCCCGGGCUUAACCUGGGAAUUGCAUUGGUGACUGCACGGCUAGAGUGUGUCAGAGGGGGGUAGAAUUCCACGUGUAGCAGUGAAAUGCGUAGAGAUGUGGAGGAAUACCGAUGGCGAAGGC